UGAAGUUGGAAUCGCUAGUAAUCGCGGAUCAGCAUGCCGCGGUGAAUACGUUCCCGGGCCUUGUACACACCGCCCGUCACACCAUGAGAGUUGGGAAUACCCGAAGCCUGUGAGCUAACUUUUAGAGGCAGCAGUCGAAGGUAGAAUCAAUGAUUGGGGUGAAGUCGUAACAAGGUAGC
rnacentral:rRNA from 1 species